GGGCUCGCCAGCCGCAGCGGUGACUACAGUGUGCAGCAAUCAUAGAUGAAUAUUGUAUUGUUCAUCCAUGGCUGCAUGAUUCACGUGGGAACUGACUGCCCUCUCUAUCGUGCACUCUCCUACAAACGAUGACUACUCAGGGAGAUACAGCGGUUCAUGAGGCCCUUCUUCCCCAACUAGCGACUGGUUCCAUCAAGAUGAAGAGGCACAAGAAAACGACGAGACCGAACCGUAGUGCAAGCUGGUCUGCAUUGUUCUAACCCUAGCUAAGUUUCAAUUGGAAUCGAAUCUAAAUUAUUUGGUUAUGGAA